rnacentral:miRNA from 1 species
UAGAAAUACACUUGUGAACACU